rnacentral:rRNA from 1 species
UUUUCCUACGGGAGGCAGCAGUGAGGAAUAUUGGUCAAUGGCCGGAAGGCUGAACCAGCCAAGCCGCGUGAAGGACGAAGGUGCCAAGCAUUGUAAACUUCUUUUGUCAAGGGACAAAAUCAGGCUCGAGAGCCUGACCGAGGGUACUUGAAGAAAAAGCAUCGGCUAACUCCGUGCCAGCAGCCGCGGUAAUACGGAGGAUGCGAGCGUUAUCCGGAUUUAUUGGGUUUAAAGGGUGCGCAGGCGGUCUGUUAAGUCAGCGGUCAAAGCCCGGGGCUCAACCCCGGCCCACCGUUGAAACUGGC